ensembl:lncRNA
CUUUGGCUGGUAAGAAAAAGAAGAGGUGUAAAGAUACUCUCCAAGAUGCCAGAACCAACUGAAGUGAUGAUAACCACGCCAUUUUACCAGCAACAGCAGAAUGAAAUCUCCAGGUUCCUGAAGAUCAAGCCACUGGCUUUGGGGAUUUUGGAAAUAUUGAUAGCCUUAUUGAAACUCGGUUUGACAAUCUGGAAUAAGAGUUUUUUCGUUAUCUGGUCACCAUUCAUUUACAUCGUAAUUGGAGCUAUAACAGUCUCGGCUGCACACACAUGUAAACCGCGUCUGGUCAAAUCCUCACAAAUGCUCAGCUAUGUAAAUGUUGCAGUAGUUUCUUUCUCCCUCCGCGCUCACUUUAUUUUAGUUGGGGUUACUCCAGAUGUGUCCUCCUAUGUCCCUGUCAUCUGUGAUAUUCUGAUCUUCAUCUUCUCUCUUGCUGUUGCUGUAACCGCCUGUUCCUGUUGCUGCAGACCAAAGUCAACCCCUGUCAUAAUCAGUUAUGAGACCACAGAUUUGCCUGCCAACCACAUCAUGCAGAUGGGCCAGCCGGACUCCUCUGCAGUGGCCCAGCCGGUUAGUUCAGCCAUGUACGUCCUGCCAGCAGCACACGGCUCAGUCCCACCUGUGCCUCUGCCAAAUUACAGUCACGUCCCCAGUGCAUCUCCACCAAUGUACAGUCCAGUACCAACUACACCUCCAUCCAGCUACGACAAAGUCUCAGAUGCACUUCCACCAAACUACUCUCCAGUCCCAAGUACCCCUCUACCAGCAUAUGAGCAUGAAGAUUUUCAGAACAGAAGAUGAAUAAUGUCUUUGUUUGAAAGUUUACACAAUUUAUGGUGUUGGAAAACCAAAAAUUAUACUUAUAAGUUUGUAAAUCGAAUGGAUGAGAAGCAUGCCUAAGACACUUACGUUUUCAUUAUGUUUCAUUUGUUAUGUAUUUCCCCAAAUGAUUGUUUUGUUUGAUUUGAUUUUACAUAAAAAUUGGUAGUUUACAUAAUUAAUGUGCAUUUUUAUUUUUAAUUCAACACAGUAAACUGCACACUAUUGAUUCAGCCCGGCAUUUACAGAUGGAGACUUAACAUCUAAAAUCUUAUAUUAAGUGUUCAAGGUGUACUUUUAAAAAAAUAGUCAUGUUGAAAUUUGUAUUACUUAAACAAGUGGUUUGCACAGUCAAGUUAUAAAUUGACUAUUCAUUAAUCUCUAGGCAGUAAUCUCUGUAAAUAGACUGACAAUUUUACAUUCAAAUUUGUGUUUGACCUGCCCUGUCACAAAAUACUAUUACCAGCCCAUAACAAAAAAUACUUCUAGUGCAGCAUAAUGAACCUGUUCAGAAAUAUUUCAGAAGACCUGAAAACAAAGCUCUGCAUAUCCACAUUAACACUUCAUCUCAGCACUGAAGCAAAGAGGAAGAUGGGUUUAGAGAUGGCCAAAAACUACUCUGUGGGUCUGAUUAACAGCUCUAUUAUUUAGUUCAGAUCACAGCUAAUAAAAUCUGAUUGCAUAGGACA